UACGUAGGAGGCAAGCGUUAUCCGGAAUGACUGGGCGUAAAGGGUGCGUAGGUGGUUCGGCAAGUUAGUAGCGUAAUUCCGGGGCUCAACUUCGGAUCUACUACUAAAACUGUCGGGCUUGAGUGCAGGAGGGGUAAAUGGAAUUCCCAGUGUAGCGGUGGAAUGCGUAGAUAUUGGGAAGAACACCAGCGGCGAAGGCGAUUUACUGGACUGUAACUGACACUGAGGCACGAAAGCGUGGGGAGCAAACAGG
rnacentral:rRNA from 1 species